GAGGGUACAGCUCAAGUGGUAGAGCUCAUGCUUAGCAUGCAUGAGCUCCUGGGUUCAAUCCCCAGUACCUCCU
rnacentral:tRNA from 1 species